CUAAAGUCACCCCGAUGACACCAUGGAUGAGGAGAUGCUGAUUCUAGAAGUCUAGAAGUAGAUUUCCUCCUCUGGAAGGACACAAUCUACUGCUUAUAUGUCUAUGUGUCUGUCUUUAGAGAGACGACUCGUUAUCGUGAGAUUGAACGUGAAUCUGCAGGUUCUUGUGAGUUCUCGUGAUUACUGCUGUCUGUAAUCCGCCACAAAAUUCGCCUCACAAACGGAUCCGUUAGGAAUUGGCAGACGGUGAAAAUCGCUGCUGUUCCAGAUUCAGUGAAAAUUGGCAUCAGCAUCU
rnacentral:lncRNA from 1 species